UACGGGGGGAGCAAGCGUUGCUCGGAUUUACUGGGCGUAAAGGGCGCGUGGGCGGCCACCGCAAGUCGACUGUGAAAUCUCCGGGCUUAACCCGGAAAGGUCAGCCGAUACUGCGGGGCUAGAGUGCAGAAGGGGCAACUGGAAUUCUCGGUGUAGCGGUGAAAUGCGUAGAUAUCGAGAGGAACACCUGCGGCGAAGGCGGGUUGCUGGGCUGACACUGACGCUGAGGCGCGAAAGCUAGGGGAGCGAACGGG
rnacentral:rRNA from 1 species